GACGAACGCUGGCGGCGUGCUUAACACAUGCAAGUCGAACGGAAAGGCCUUUUCGGGGGUACUCGAGUGGCGAACGGGUGAGUAACACGUGGGUGAUCUGCCCUGCACUCUGGGAUAAGCCUGGGAAACUGGGUCUAAUACCGGAUAGGACCGCACUUUAGUGUGUGUGGUGGAAAGUUUUUUCGGUGUAGGAUGAGCCCGCGGCCUAUCAGCUUGUUGGUGGGGUAAUGGCCUACCAAGGCGGCGACGGGUAGCCGGACUGAGGGGUUGGUCGGCCACAUUGGGACUGAGAUACGGCCCAGACUCCUACGGGAGGCAGCAGUGGGGAAUAUUGCACAAGGGGCGCAAGCCUGAUGCAGCGACGCCGCGUGGGGGAUGACGGCCUUCGGGUUGUAAACUCCUUUCGCCAGGGACGAAGCGUUUUGUGACGGUACCUGGAGAAGAAGCACCGGCUAACUACGUG
rnacentral:rRNA from 1 species